AUGAUGAAACUAUGAAAGAAAAUAUGUUCCAGAACAUAAAUAAAUAGGGUUACCUAAAGAAAUAUGGUCAAGGCUAAUUUUAAUAAAAUUUUUGAAAAAAAAAAUUUUCGGCAAAUUUCACCGAUUUGUCUGACGAACGAAAUAAGUUUCAAUGGAAAGUAAACAGGGUUGCCUGCGAAAAUCCGGUCAGAAAUAAGGGUUGCCAGGCUUUUAAUUAAAAUAAGAAGGGAAGACUUUUAGCGAUAACUCAUAAACGGCUUAACUGAUCAAGUUUGUUUUAAUUUUAUUUGAUUUAGUUUUUUAAACACUAUUUUCAUUUUUUUCAUAUUAUUUGGACAGAUGGUUCAAAAGUUAGAAGGAAAAACCGUUUUUUUUUUCUAAACGAUUAGUUCGAUAUAGGGUUACAUACAUUUUUUUUCUUGUUUUUUCGUUUGAUACCAGUGUUGUAAGAUGAUAUUUGAUAUGAGUUUUAAAAUAAAUAGGGUUUUCAAAAAAAAACAUGAAAAUAGUGCUUAAAAAACUCACUACAUACCACCAAGUUAUUACCAGUGGUAACUACUGGGAUUUUUUUUCCACCUUUUACCACUGGUAACUACUGGGAAAAAAAAUCCCACUAGUUACCACUAACUCGGCUUGGUGGAAUUUUAUUCCCAGUAAGUAGUUACCACCUAAAUAUUGUUAGAAUUCAAUACUUAUAAAAACAGUAAAAAUAGUAUAGUAUAAAUGUAGCGUGCUGUAAUACAUGAAAUUAAAAAUAGCCUUGACCGUAUUUCUUUAGGUAACCCUAUUAAUUUAUGUUCUGGAACAUAUUUUUUUUCAUAUUUUCAUGCUUUCAUCCGUCAGACAGAUUGGUAAAGGUCGACCAUAUGUGGGAUCUCCUACUAUUAGUUUUUUUGUAUCAGCAUCUCUGUCAUAAAGUUGUGAAAAUUUGUCACACAAAUCCCGUGCAAUCACUCUGCAAGCUGAUCUUGGUGUUACUUUUGAUUCUUGGAAGAGUUCAGGUUCCGUCACACAGUUCUCACGAUAGCGUUGACUUCGGCAUUAGAAAUCGGUUUACAAUCAUUUAAUUUUGUCACUAACUACUACUACUACUAACCGUAUUAAAGAGACUAUUGAGCGAAACCAAGGUUCCAAAGUGUUCGGAAGUCUAUUGUAAUAAAUUAUUUGGCAAAUUAACGGACAUUUGAAGGCAUAAUUAAUUUGUUUAUUUCAAAAGGGUACAAUCAGAUACUCUGGUACAAAAAAAGUAUACUACCUAUUAAUAAUUGGUCCAAUUCGUGAAUUUUGUCACACAUUGAUCUUGCGACUGAAACUCGAUAAACCUAGCUAGAAGUUUCUAAAGCAAAUCUAAAUAAGCAUGAUGCAGACAUAUAAAAUGGCAAUUGUCAAUAAUAUGUGUUUUAUAAGUGUUAAAAUGUAGCAAGCUUUGGUAGUCACUACAUAUUUUUUUUUCAUUAAGAUCUGAUUGAGGUGUAAAAAGCUUUUGGCAUAAGCCUAUUUCUGAAUUAUAUUGAAAUUUAUGAUUACAUCCAAUGAAAUAUGGAUUUUCAUACGUAUCACUAAAUAGAAUCAUCUCUACUUCAAGGAAAUUCAGUACGUUUUCUUCAUGUUUAUAGAGAAGGUAAUCGCCUGUUGCAUAAUUUAUCCCCCUGUAACCUAUUUGCGAAGCCGAGAGGAUUGUUCCAGGGGUGGUGUUAGAAAUCAAGCACCUAACGCUUGAUGGUAGUUCGUCGAUUCUGUGUAUACGAGAAUGUUUGGAAAAUAAUUUGGUAUCAUACCGAAUACCCUGAGAAAGAUAACCCUCGUGUAGUUGAUGACGAUUUGAUAGUGAAAGUGUGAUAUUGACAAAAUUUGGAAGGUGUCGGACAACGUUUUUGAAAAACCUAUGUUUGCUUUCAAAUCUAAGCGUCCAAGAAUAGAUCAACGGUCCAUGAAUUCUCGUCAAUUCACCAUAGGUUAGGUAGUGAUGUUUAGGUCUUAGCGGAGUAUUAGGGAAUAACUGUUUCCUAAGUAUUAAAUAUUCUUUUGUGCCAGAUGAUAAUAAAGCUGUUUGACCAAUAGAUAUCUCAUAUGCGCAAAUAAGUUGUGCUAUUUCCCGCAACUUUAUUAUCAUUUGCCAGACAGGGUCGUGAAUAUUUACAGAGUUUAAUAAAAUUAGCGGCAAAUAAUUUAGAAAAUGCCAGUUUUCAAGAGCUUGACCCCCUAUUUUAACAGAGCCAGCUUUAAAGGGUGGUGGCACACUUUUUUUUUCCAUUUUCGACAAACGUUCCAUUUUCAUGUUUAAAAAAUUUGGCGUAAAGCUUUUGUUAUUGAUGAAAUAGUUGAUAGCUAAAGCGAUGUCAAAUUGCACAACACCCUCAAAUAAAUCAUGUCCUAAACACGGAGGCAAACCGUCAAUGACAUGAUAGUUUUCGAUUUGGUUAAAAACGGAGUCCUGUUUAACCCCUCGAUUAUGAACCGAUGAACUACCAUCCUCAUGUAAUUGGUUAGAGAUUUUUACGUCUUCGUUAUAGUCUUCAAUAGUUCUUUUUUUUCCUAACAGUAUUGGAUUUUGCGCAAAAGGUUCUUUCUCAAUUAAACAAAACCUGCAAAAAUAUUUUACAUUAAAGUUUUCAACAAAACCACCAAUGGUAUGACUUCCCAAAUUGUCACCAAUUAUUGUCAGAAGAGUGCCAUAAAUAAUUUGAUUACACUCUUUAAUAUACACUCCACGUGUUUCUAAGCUUCUAAGGUCUUCCGUUAAUUUACCAAAAAUUUUAUCAUGACCGAACUCUUUUAAAUGUUUUUCCUUGCACAAUAAUACCAGUUUCAUGUUAUCUAUUUUAGACCUAUUAUAAGGAAAAACAUUUACCAGCGUCAUGUAAACUCCUAGUAUUUUAUGUUUGAUCUUAGAUGAUCCCAAGGGAUUACAAACUUCAAAGGCGUCUUGAUACAGUAUUAUUUUUAAUGUGUUUGGAUUAUUUAUGAAUUCGUUAUUACACAUUUUUGAGCCACAUGUUAUAUCUUUUAAAACAUCAUUUACUUUAUUUUUUGGGUUUUGAAAUUGUUCAAGAAAUGUCUUAUCUGCAAACCACGUUCUAAUGGUGUCUAUGAUUGGUAUAUAUUGUAAGGAACACAUUUUGUUAAAAUUGUUUCUACCUAACAUUAUAGAAAUUGGUAACACAAUGUUACAAAGUUCCGAGUAAAGUUUAAAUCUUAAGUACUUGCUUGUCAACUUUUUAGACCAACUGCCAUUCAUACUAUCUUCAUAUGUCGAAUUGAAAACAUGUUUCUCCAUAGCUUCUUUAGAAUCUGGAUAAGUUUCAAGAGCAUGUAGACAUUUAAUUUUAAUAUUUUUCAAAGAAUUUUCAUGGACAUCUGAAUAACCUUCUACCACACUGCAAAUAGCAUCUUGAGAAAGAAAAUUUCGUGCCUCUAACUUGAGUAAAAGUAACAGCAAUGGUUUCAAAAAUAACAAAUCAGUUUCGUUAUUAAGAUCCGUAUUGACUUCUAAAUCGUCAGACAUAUUACAAUCUUGAAUAUCGCUAGUAGUAGGCUGAACGUGAUCUAGGCUACUCGGGUUUAAAAAAUCUUGAUCUGUCAAAUUCGAAACAGAGUUAAAAUGAUUGCGAUACACAUGACUUUUUAAUGAUGGUAUACUAGUAAAAGUAGACGAACCACAUGAAGUUGUUUCAGAUGAAAGAUUAUAUGGACAAGUUACCGCUUUUCCGGAUUGAAUAUCAUGAGUUCUUGAAUGGUAUUCGACAUUUUUUAACAAUAUUCUCUGAUUACAUUCUGUACACUUAGAAUAGGUUGAAUUAAUGUCAACUCGUGGACUAUCAGUACUAGUCCCAGGCUGAUGCAAUCUAAAAUUGUGAUUUCUAAAAGACUCAUAAUUAUUGAAAACACUCUUACACAAAGGAUCAACACACGGAAAUUUAACAUUUUUACAGAACCUGUGACUUUUUUGAUGGUUAUUGUACGAAAUUACUGUGGAGAAAUUCUCGCCACAAUAACCGCAUGUAAAUGCCAUUACUGGAUUUUACUGAUUAAACUAAGCACUUUAUUCAGCGUGCGUCCUUUACGGACUUUACUUCCUUCUUUAGGGUUUAUUUUAAACACAAACCUUUGAAGAAAUUCCAAUGUGUUUUGACAGUGCACUGGAUAUUCCAUAUUCAAGUUGAAGUAAGCCGCCAUCAGUAGUUGUAACGACGUAGACAGACUCGCAGUUUCGCUAACAAUCGUUUUUUCUACCAGCAAGUAAUAUAUAUUUUCAUUAUCU